CAGGGAGACAACAAAAUGUUUAAUUUUAUAAUUUUGUCACCUUAGGUCGAUCGGUAUCUCACUUUCUUAAUUCAUUAAGAAUUUCAUUUCCUAAGUUUUUCUAGGUCACACCCAUUAUUUUUCCUGGGCCAUUAGCUCAGGUGGUUAGAGCGCACCCCUGAUAAGGGUGAGGUCCCUGGUUCAAGUCCAGGAUGGCCCAUAUCUCUAUGUUGGGGGUAUAGCUCAGUUGGUAGAGCGCCUGCUUUGCAAGCAGGAUGUCAGCGGUUCGAGUCCGCUUACCUCCACUGAUUACCACCUCUUCCAUAACCGGUAGAAAGGAAAUGUUUUGAGUUGUGAUCAAAUUCUGAAAGAAUCUAGCUUCCUAAUGAAAUCAUUAAGAUGCUGGACCCAUUGAAUUAAUUUCAUUGUUUUCAGAGAACCUUGACAACUGCAUAGAUUAUUUUUAAAGACAAUAAGCAUCUUUAAUGAUGCAGAUUUAUUAUUUGUGCGAAUGCAUUAAUAACAAUUCUAUUAAGCUGAUGCUUCAAUUUUUGAAGUUAUU
rnacentral:tRNA from 1 species